GGCAAGAUGGCCGAGCGGUCCAAGGCGUGUGACUCAAGCGAAAGCUUGCCUGACUUCAGGCUUCUCAUCUGGGUAUCCAGGCAGGGGUUCGAAUCCCCUUCUUGUCA
rnacentral:tRNA from 1 species